rnacentral:lncRNA from 1 species
CUCAGUGCUGUGCAAGGGCUCUGGGUAUGGUUAUUUACUGUGCAUGCCUUGGUCACACUGUGAAUUGCCACAUGGGUGGCUUCAGCUGGGGCCCAUGUUUGAGUGUUUGUGUUUGGUUCCUAACAGAAGUCCCGGCCUCAGCAGGUGGUGUGGACCUGGCUGUGGCCAACCAGAGGGCACGGAGAAGAGGGAACCCCCCCCAAAUGAAAAAGGCAAAAGAAAGGAUAAAAUUCGCAGCCUAUGGGAGGUUGCACAGUACAGUGUGAAUGUCAGCUCUGCUUCUCAGAGGCGGAAUGGAGAGCAAAGGAGAAAUGACCUUGAACUCAAAAGCUUCGGUCCUGCCCACUUUCCGUGUACCUGGAGAGUAAUCCCUGCCAUAACAUCAUCUUUGAGAGAAGCUUGCCAGUGUGAGACCCGUGUGACAUUCCUCCACCAAAGCAACUCACACCAGUAAGGGAGAAGGCGCAUGGCUGAAUCUUCAUUCAAAUAUGGGUGAUUUUCCCUCCUGCUGAUGAAUAAAGCUACAUAGUCAGGUGUAUAGCAGAAGGUGAAAUGAAUGUGCAUUCUCUCGUCUGAGCUUUAUUUUCUGAAUAUCAGGCAAAUGAGACCCCAGUAUAGCUGUGAGUAUUAGGAUGAAUGUCCUAGCCUGACUUAAUUCUAAGAGUAUGACCAAGACAUUAUGUCUUUUGGUAAUGGCUCUGAAUCUUCAACUUGGUCUGGCGUAGUCAUCGUUUGACUGUACAUCCCAGAUAGAAAGUCCAUGCAAGCUAUUGCUAAUGACUCAAAACUACUGCUUGUUACCAGCAGCUCGGUGCCAUUUAGGGGUCAACUUUUUACCUGAAACCAUCAUGAGCCAACAGCAGUCACCAGUACUUUUAGAAUCUCAGACUAUUUGUUCUCCUACGUAGCACACAUACAUUCAGUGGAAGGAUGCAGGCUUAUUAGCAAAGGGGUCUUUCUGGUACCUCAGUGUUUGUACGCUAGAGGUUCGCUCUCUAUUUCCUGUGUUAUUUAAUAAUCAGUUUAAUUUUAGUCAAGUUUCACUUUACUACUCCUAGAAAUUGGAGAAAAAUAUUGCCUACGUUCACUUGCUGUGUCACACAGACACAACACCCAGCAAAGGUAAAAGAUAAAGGAUCAAUUCUUAUGGAUUGCAUA